AUGACCUGGACAGCACUUUUCCUCAGCCUCCUGGCUCAUUGCACAGGCUCUGUAGCCUCUUAUGUGCUGACUCAGCCAUCCUCAGUAUCGGUGACCCCAGGACAGACGACCAAAAUCACYUGUGGAGGCAACAGCAUUGGAAAUAAAUAUGUGCACUGGUACCAGCAGAAGACAGCACAGACCCCUCUGCUAAUCAUCUACAGAGAUAGCAACCGGCCCUCAGGGAUCCCUGACCAAUUCUCUGGCUCCAACUCUGGGAACACAGCCACCCUGACCAUCAGUGAGGUCCAGGCUGGAGAUGAGGCUGACUAUUACUGUCAGACAGAGGAUAGCAAUGCUGCUCACAGUGACACAGGCAGACACGGAAUGUCCUCAGGCCCUCAAGAGUUCCUGGCCCUUUUGCAAGAGUUCACAGUCUACUUACAAGAAAGAGUUUGGAUUUACAGCCAAGCUUAUGACUCCAGCAGCGAAGAUGAAGAGCCUGCAGGCCACGUCUUCACCAUUACAGCCCUCGUCCAUAGAGAAGACAUUGUAACAGAUCCUGAGGAUGAGGAUGAGGAGAAAGGACCAGAAAUCUGCAAGUAA